UCAGAAACCAAAAUGAAAGACUCUCAACAAGUCAUGUAAGUCAAGCGUGAGGAAGGGCAGGAAUGCCACACAGUUGAAACGCACAAAAUCUGAAGUGUCCACUAUCCAGUAAGGAGAUACCUUGACUCAUGUCAACAGUCCCGGCUAUGUCAAGCAGCUACAUGAAUCCUAAAUCACUCUUAGAACAGCAAAGCAGAACUCCAAACAAGGCAUCGUGAGAAAGCACAUACAUACUGAGGGCUGAUGUCCAACUGGUUCUGUAGGCGCUUAGGGCCAGAUUCUACUCCAUCUAUUAGGCAUGUACGUGGAAUCACCUAAGUGCGACUCUAUUCCACCCUGUUCAGGUCGCUGAAAAUCUAUUACUGCCUGUUUUUGUAAUAAAGUACCAUCUGACCCUUAAGCAUAAG